GGAGUCUAGCAUGUGCGCGAGUCAUUGGGACAUUUCGAAACCUAAAGGCGCAAUGAAAGUGAAGGCCCGUCUCGCGCGGGCCGAGGGAAGAUGGGCGUCCGCCGCAAGGCACGCCUCGCAUUCCCGGGGCGUCUCGUUCUCAUCGCGAGAAGAGGCGCACCAAGAGCGUACACGCUGGGACCCGAAAGAUGGUGAACUAUGCCUGGUCAGGACGAAGUCAGGGGAAACCCUGAUGGAGGUCCGUAGCGAUUCUGACGUGCAAAUCGAUCGUCGGAACUGGGUAUAGGGGCGAAAGACUAAUCGAACCAUCUAGUAGCUGGUUCCCUCCGAAGUUUCCCUCAGGAUAGCUGGCGCUCAUUUGCGUACGAGUCUCAUCCGGUAAAGCGAAUGAUUAGAGGCAUUGGGGCCGAAACGGCCUCAACCUAUUCUCAAACUUUAAAUGGGUGAGAUCUCCGGCUUGCUCGAACCGAUGAAGCCGCGAGACACGGAUCAGAGUGCCAAGUGGGCCAUUUUUGGUAAGCAGAACUGGCGCUGUGGGAUGAACCAAACGUCGAGUUAAAGCGCCCAAAUCGACGCUUAUGGGAUACCAUGAAAGGCGUUGGUAACUUAAGACAGCAGGACGGUGGCCAUGGAAGUC
rnacentral:rRNA from 1 species